GAUGAACGCUGGCUACAGGCUUAACACAUGCAAGUCGAGGGGAAACGACGGGGAAGCUUGCUUCCCCGGGCGUCGACCGGCGCACGGGUGAGUAACGCGUAUCCAACCUGCCUCUGACUGAGGGAUAACCCGUCGAAAGUCGGCCUAAUACCUCAUGGCAUCGUCUGCGGGCAUCCAACGACGAUUAAAGAUUUCAUCGGUCAGGGAUGGGGAUGCGUCUGAUUAGCUUGUUGGCGGGGUAACGGCCCACCAAGGCGACGAUCAGUAGGGGUUCUGGGAGGAAGGGCCCCCAAAUUGGAACUGAGACACGGUCCAAACUCCUACGGGAGGCAGCAGUGAGGAAUAUUGGUCAAUGGGCGGGAGCCUGAACCAGCCAAGUAGCGUGCAGGAUGACGGCCCUAUGGGUUGUAAACUGCUUUUAUGCGGGGAUAAAGUGAGGGACGUGUCCUUCAUUGCAGGUACCGCAUGAAUAAGGACCGGCUAAUUCCGUG
rnacentral:rRNA from 1 species